rnacentral:lncRNA from 1 species
GUUUCGGGAGGUGUUACCUUGUCGUAGGAAUUAAACAAGGAUCUCUGAUACAAUACACGAAGUAUUCUUUUUAGUGUACAGAAAUGAUCAUCUACUUAUCUCUUCAGUAUAAUUACAGGAUGCUAAUCUAUUUUUAGAAGCAUACAAUCACUGUAAAUUAAUAUAUGUAUAUCUCUGCCUAUGUGUAGUGACAACUGCAAAUUAUACCUUGUCCAUCG